GCGAUCACAGUUCUAGCUGAUACUUCUUUUAAGUCACAACGUGUUAUUGUCAGAAUUGUUAAUUUAUGCACGAUGCAGAUACUCUCAGCAAUUCUCGCUCUAGGCUGUUUGUCCGCAGUUGCAUUUGGGGCGCAAACAUUGAUGCUGAAUGCAACUCAUCCAGACCAUCCGGGCAAGUGCUACGAUCCCUCCUCGAAUUUGGCGCUCAGUCCUGAAGAAAUGAAAACGAUUCCUGGAUCAUGUGUCAGGAUUUCAUGCUCCGAGGAUUUCACACUGACAUAUUCAAGCUGUGGCUUAUAUUCACUCGGACCAAACUGUAAAGAGAUUGACCAGGAUCUUAGCAAGGAUUAUCCUGCAUGCUGCAUAACAUUCAAAUGCGAAUAAGAUGGAGAAGUUUCCCAUUAUUGAUAGUAUAGUUGAAAAAUAAACUAAGGGGCUAUCCAUAUACCUUGUGGAAAGUUUAGAGGUAAGAGGACGGUUUUGGCAAAUAGAUGAUUGUCCAUUAAAACCACCCAAAACCUGACCACGUGGUUUAUGCACAGCCCCUAAUAGGUCCAUCAAUGAUAUUAAUUUAUGUAAUAAAGUGCAUGUUGAAAUAAUAAAAAUUAUGUGUU